UACAGAGGUCUCAAGCGUUGUUCGGAUUCAUUGGGCGUAAAGGGUGUGUAGGUGGCGCCGUAAGUCGGGUGUGAAAUUUCGGAGCUUAACUCCGAAACUGCAUUCGAUACUGCGGUGCUUGAGGACUGGAGAGGAGACUGGAAUUCAUGGUGUAGCAGUGAAAUGCGUAGAGAUCAUGAGGAAGACCAGUGGCGAAGGCGGUCUCUGGACAGUUCCUGACACUGAGACACGAAGGCCAGGAGCAACGG
rnacentral:rRNA from 1 species